rnacentral:rRNA from 1 species
AGAGUUUGAUUCUGGCUCAGGACGAACGCUGGCGGCGUGCUUAACACAUGCAAGUCGAACGAUGAACCUCUUCGGAGGGGAUUAGUGGCGAACGGGUGAGUAACACGUGGGCAAUCUGCCCUGCACUCUGGGACAAGCCCUGGAAACGGGGUCUAAUACCGGAUAUGACGUGCGACCGCAUGGUCUGUACGUGGAAAGCUCCGGCGGUGCAGGAUGAGCCCGCGGCCUAUCAGCUUGUUGGUGGGGUGAUGGCCUACCAAGGCGACGACGGGUAGCCGGCCUGAGAGGGCGACCGGCCACACUGGGACUGAGACACGGCCCAGACUCCUACGGGAGGCAGCAGUGGGGAAUAUUGCACAAUGGGCGAAAGCCUGAUGCAGCGACGCCGCGUGAGGGAUGACGGCCUUCGGGUUGUAAACCUCUUUCAGCAGGGAAGAAGCGCAAGUGACGGUACCUGCAGAAGAAGCACCGGCUAACUACGUGCCAGCAGCCGCGGUAAUACGUAGGGUGCGAGCGUUGUCCGGAAUUAUUGGGCGUAAAGAGCUCGUAGGCGGCUUGUCACGUCGGAUGUGAAAGCCCGGGGCUUAACCCCGGGUCUGCAUUCGAUACGGGCAGGCUAGAGUUCGGUAGGGGAGAUCGGAAUUCCUGGUGUAGCGGUGAAAUGCGCAGAUAUCAGGAGGAACACCGGUGGCGAAGGCGGAUCUCUGGGCCGAUACUGACGCUGAGGAGCGAAAGCGUGGGGAGCGAACAGGAUUAGAUACCCUGGUAGUCCACGCCGUAAACGUUGGGAACUAGGUGUGGGCGACAUUCCACGUCGUCCGCGCCGCAGCUAACGCAUUAAGUUCCCCGCCUGGGGAGUACGGCCGCAAGGCUAAACUCAAUGAAUUGACGGGG